rnacentral:rRNA from 1 species
AUUGAACGCUGGCGGCAGGCCUAACACAUGCAAGUCGAACGAGUGGCGGACGGGUGAGUAAUGUCUGGGAAUCUGCCUGAUGGAGGGGGAUAACUACUGGAAACGGUAGCUAAUACCGCAUACCAUCGGAUGUGCCCAGAUGGGAUUAGCUAGUAGGUGGGGUAACGGCUCACCUAGGCGACGAUCCCUAGCUGGUCUGAGAGGAUGACCAGCCACACUGGAACGGAGACACGGUCCAGACUCCGACGGGAGGCAGCAGUGGGGAAUAUUGCACAAUGGGCGCAAGCCUGAUGCAGCCAUGCCGCGUGUAUGAAGAAGGCCUUAGGGUUGUAAAGUACUUUCAGCGGGGAGGCGUUACCCGCAGAAGAAGCACCGGCUAACUCCGUGCCAGCAGCCGCGGUAAUUC